GGUAAUUAACAUUUUUAAGCAAAGCUAGAUGGACUCACUGGCUACAAGAAAUAGACAAUAAUUUGGAUAAAGGCAAGGCUAAGGAAGGGAUCUCGAGUGAUAGAAAAAGAGACGAAAAGGGACAAUAAGGGUACCAUAAAAGUAAUGGAAAUUUUUAAUUGGACAAACCAUUCAACGUAAUUCCCCCCCACGGUAACUUGGUCCAUAAAUUUCAUAAAAUCUAAUCACUCCUUCCAACCUGUCCUUCCCAUUCAUCUAAAUUCCCUUUGACUCCUUAACAAAACAACCCGAUUAUUUGCUUACAUGAUCAAUCAUCAUUUAUAUUCCCUCUCUUUUUCUGUGUACAAAACACCUUAGAUUCUCUUCUAAUUCCACCCUAAGAGAAACCUGAAAUUUAUCACCUACUGCACAGCCUAAUAUCUUCCAUUGUCAUUGUAGCGUUUAGGCUUAGAGGUAGAUGACAUCCAAAUGAAAUACUUUAAAAGUACAUAAAGUACAGCACUUGGAAAUCACCAAUCUAAGAUGUGAUAAGAUCUCUACUUCACCCCUAGUAAGCACAGAAAUACUGAGAAAUUAAAAAGAAACUGUAAUAAGAACACAAGAAGAAGAAAAUAUUACGUAUUGUUGAUGAACUUACUUUGAGUCAAUCACGAAUUCAACACAUCUCAUCUAACCAUUUAACUUUGUUGGCAUUUCAAACAUGAUGAACAUUUCAAUUCAACUCUUUUGUCUCUUGAGUACUGUAAGCUUUAGACUGAUGAUUAUGUAUUCAAUCCUCUUCAAGGGAAUUCUAUGGUCUUGCAUGAAAGGGUUUGGUAGGAAUUCUUUCUUUUUCUCCAUUAAGACUUGAGUUUAGACAUACAAAAGCUCCUAUCUCAGUUGUAAAUAAUAAACACCUCUAACAGAGUCCAACUUGAGCCUAGAACCGAAAAAUAACUAAAAGGUUCUCACCUGCAAUUUGAUGUACUCCUUUUCUUUCUUCUUCAUCUCAUGUAUUUGUUGAGUUCUUACUUGCUUUGCACACAAACAGAAAACAACAUUAGUACUAAAAUUAUUACAUAGAAACUAGUAUCUAUCUCACAGCAUCCAACUACCAUAACCUGAUUGCCAAUAACCCUUCAUCUGGAGUUCAACAUUUUCCUACUGUAUUGUUGUCAAUUUGAGCUUUAAAAGCAGCCUUACCUUUGGCUUCCUGUGGAAAAGAACUUCCUUGUUCAAUGUUAAAUAGAGAGAAAUCAUAGAAUUUAGACAAGUCUCGAGAUUGUACUAUUCGUGUAACUGUUGCAAUCUCCCUAUCUUUAACUUGUACUACCGACUUUAGCCUCUCAACUUUGGUCUCCAACCUUGAUAUAUCUUAAUGUAGCCUGCCACAAGAAAAUAAAGGUGACUGAAUACAGGGAACCAUGGUUGUGUGAAGGAAUAUUAAAAAGCUUUGCAACAUUAUUAACCUGAAAGUGAACUACAUUUAUUCCAUAUCUUAAACCAAUCUCCCAUAACAAGAAAUGAACCAAACAUUAGAAACUAGUAGCUGGAUUUCAACACUACCGAAAGACAUAAUCUCACGAAGAUCACUUUUGGCAAUAAAAUCGAAUCUUUACACGCAUUCCACCAUUCUCAUCAAAUGUAUGAAUUCAAAUCUCCUCUUAAUUCCAAUUAUUUGAUAAGCGAGAAACAAAAUGAGAUCAUUAAGUAACACAAAUUCACGAAAAAUCAAACAUAAUAGAUCAUUAAAUUGAAAUGUGACGGUAGACUUGACUAAGCCUGAUCCUCUUAGCUCAGAAGACAAGGACGGGUCGUGUUAUGAGAAAUGUCAAGGUAGACUGAAAUCUCACUGUAAGUCACUAGUCAAAUAAACCAACAGUUUUAAAACAAAGCAAAACAAUAACAAAAACCCACAAAGAUGUUGUAACGACAGUAAGACAUAUUGGUUAUGAUAAACAUAUACUACUAUGAGUUAGGAAGAUCAUGGAUCCAGCCAAAAUUAUAGAUGAAUCAGUGAUAAUCAAAAGUUGAAAUCAGUGAUAUCGAAUAUUUCUUUAACCCAAUAUGUUUAAGGUUGCAUUUUGUUGUUUCUCACACACAUCUUGUGACUAUGAUCAAAGCGUUGAAAGUGCAAGAAUAUAAGUUAUAGAAUAGAUAGAUUCAAAUAUAUUAGCAAUAUUUUUGCUGGGUACAUUUCAGAUUUUGGAAGGUAAGAAAUUAUAUGGAAUGAUAAAUCAAAUAUAGUUCAGAGACAUGGCACCUUUUCCUCACGUAGCUCCACUAAAACAAAGUGGUAAAGGGGAGAAAGCUAAAAGUGGUAAAUGCCUUCUUCGCUAAAAUGUGGCAAAUGCCUUCUUCUUUCAAACAUGAAGAGAUUGAUCACAAAGUCAAGUUGAAAGCUAAAAAAACUAAAGCCUCUAAUUGGCAGAAAAUUUUGUUUCACAAAAUUAUGCUUAUGAAAAUUACUUAUGACUAAACUUCUUUGUAACAAUUGAUAAAAAUGUUCUUGAAAACUACUUUUUCUUUCCUAGUCUUUUAAACAGAAGAAACAAACAAAACUAAAAGCAAAAUUAUUAGAAAAUGUGCCUAAAUGGACAAAUAGUCAGUAGGAAGAAGAGGUGUUGCAAUAUAUUAGGUUAAAAUGUUGAACUAUGAUGCUAACUAGAAGAGAGCAGACCACCGCACCCUGAUGAAAGUCACAUGGGAUGAGACAUUGUUCUUGGUCAGAUUGUAUCUUCUUCAAAAUCUUGAAGCAAAAGCUCCAAGCUCAUCGUAGAUUGAUGGGAUUGAUUGAGAUUUACUUAUGCAUCUGUAGGCCAUUUGCUUUUGGAAAGGAAAUGGGUCGAAAACAUUGAAGGGAAAGUGAGUUAUCAUGCUCUCAUUGUUUCACAUGUGAUACAACUGGUUAGUUCGCAGUUUCGCAGUUAAAUAAUCUUAGUAGACUAAAUUGUUCAAUCAUGAGGAGUCUACACCAUAGAACCGAAACGAUAUGUCGUCAGAAUGUCAUUAUAACCGUAUGGAUUCACUAAUCUACCAAACAAUAAUGCAGGCAAUCGCUCAAAACAUCAACGAGAAGCCGCAAUUAAACCUGAUCAAUGACAUUGUGUGCAUAUUUCUAAUGACUCACAUCAUCAAUUAAAAAAGGAGAAUAAUGCCAAUAGUUUAUGAUCUAUAAUUUCUUUGACCUUCUACUGGGAACAUCUGGGAUAUCCACGUCCCUGAAAAGAAACGCAAAGUUCAGCAUUUGAGUAGGAGAAAAUGUUCAAGUUUGUAGGACUUGCUCGUGCUCACCGUGAUUGACAAUGCAACCGGUACUCUCUGACUGCAGAAACCGGUCACUCUUGCUAGAACGCUGGAAAAACUGCACGCUCAAAAUUUAUGACAACUACCAGAUACCAUUUAAAUGAUCAUAUACUGUGAACAGCGGUGCCUAAAUCAUUGAGCUAUUCCUUGAACAGUGAUCGCAUGAGCUUUUAAUGCACUAUAAGCUUUGACCAAUGAUUGCUUUCAUCGUUUUACAACCGAUUUGUAUGUAAACUCAUGCAUUGCAGCUCAGUAAAUAGUCUUUGCAUAUAAAAAUAAAAAAUCAAUCAUAAAGCAUGGAGAACUCGGUGCAGAGCAAGUGCCAUAGUUUAAGAGAGAGUAAUCCAAUCUUGACGACUCCUGACAUUACCAAGGAGUUUAGAAAAUUUACCUCCAACUCAUCAUUACUUAUCGAACCCGGCAGUAAAAAAUCUAAACUCUGAAAUAUUUAUCUCAUCAAAAAAAGCUACGAAAGAGUCAUGUAUGAAAAUCCCCCAGAAAUCGAGGUUCACAUAUAUAAAAGGAGGGGCAGAUAACGACAAUAGAACAGUAACAAUUAAUGACCUUUGAGGGAAUGAUCGGAAAGGGAUCAUUCUGAGUGGGGCACCAUCGUCGCUCUAGUGAAUGAAAGAACUUGAUGUAAGGAGGUAUAUCAAAUCUACGGUCUUUUCAGGAUUGGGUAGGUAGGUUCUUAUUUUCAUUUAUGUCCAAGUCGGCUGCCCAAUUGUCAACCUGGGGAGGAUAUCCAGCAUCCGAUCACCAAAAGGAAGCGUGGGUAUGUUCAACUUUACCUAUUCUUAUCCGCUUCGGUUAUUUUGGAUCCAUUGUGACUAGUGUAAUCUUUUGGGCAUUCAUAACAUAAAUGCCCAUAAGUUUAGCAGCAGUCGUUGCUCCUACUGUUUUGCUCAUUAACCCUGUGUGUGGAAAUAUUUGUGUGUGUUUAGUAUGAGUCGCUAUAGCAUCCUUGGUAUCAGGGCCAUCCACACUGGGGUGGUGAACACGUCUAAUGGCCUUCACCGCGACAAAUUGAGAGAUAAACGGGUAGAUGUGAACGCCGCGAGAAAAGAAAAUAUGUCGAGCUUUCAACACCGGAACAUGAUCGAUCUUACUAGAGUUGAAGAAAUCGAUGAAUCGAACGGCGGAUGAAAUGCGAGAAUAGGCCACAUUGUACACAAAGAAGAGAAGAGUUCGAGGGAACUGAACCGAUGGCUCGAUGUUCAAACUUAAAGGAAGAGUGUGAGAGUGAGUGCGAUUGCGAUGAGAACAACCAUUGCGAAGCCAAGUGCUACGGUGAACACAGACCGUAGCUAAGGGUCACAAGAAGGCUUGAAAUGUCAAUGUUCAUCGAAGGUUGAAUCCUCGAAUCCUGGGCAUACCGUGCUAAAGCAUUUCUUUCCCUUGGGCGAAAUUAAUUAACCUACUUGAAGCAGAGAAAGUCUAUAGAGUGAACCUAUUGACUUAAGGUUUCGGAUAUGGAAGAAGAAGUAGGAUUGAGAUAAUUAGGUGGAGCGCACCAUUCGAAAGAAGGUUGAAUCCUGGGAGGACUUGGAAAGUAAGGAUUGUUCGAAUUGAUUUUUUCAAUGACACGGGACACGAAGAAGCUUCAGGGGCAUUUUGCACUAUCACUCCGUAUCAAGCAAUUGUUUAAGGAUCUUUAUAGUGACAUCAUAUGCACAUAAGGAAAUUCGUUUAGCUUAAUUCAGCUCCACUGCCCGACAGUGGCAGUUAAAAUAGUACUGCCAAGGGUACGCAAUAUUAUAUUACUAGGGCUUCGAACCAGUCACUACAAGCUGAAGUGAUUAGUAGACUGUGAGACCCCCAAUCAUUACAAUACGUAUGUUAGGAUAAGGGAUUAUACUCCACCAACAUUGAUAAGGAGAGAGACCAUUCUGAGUGGGAAAUAGAAAGAAUGUGCAGGUGAGGUCCCACUGGGUAGAGAAAUUUGUAGGGUGAAGUAUAAAUAGAAUGAUAUGAGAAAUAGGGAUAGGUAUCUUUUUGGUUUAGUCUAAUCUUAAGUAAGGGAGGUCGGCCAAGCAGCCACGAUCAGGAGAGGGGUAUCCUUCUUGUGAAGGGUGCUGGUAAUGUUCUUCGUUGUUCAUUGUCAUCGAUUAGUUUUCAUUCCUUAUUGUAGCUGUAACUUUGGGCUAUAUAUAAUAAAUAAAGGAAAUUUGCACGUAUGGCUGCUGUCUAAACUGUAUAUUUUAAGCCAUAGUUGGGUAUUUUAUUAGAAGAGGGUGUUAGAAUCCUAACAUAGACAACCCUCAAACCUUAGAGGAGUGUAUCAAGGAGGCUCAACUCGUUGAAUGAUAAGAAUAUUUUAUGCCUUACAAUUAGCCAUAGGCAGAUUUCGGGGCAAAAGUGAGCUCAAAAGAAUGUGAGAGCAAUCCAUCAUUUCAUUAGGACUAUUAUUCGAAAGUAAACAAUGUAGGAAGAAUGAGCCAAAGAAAACGUUCAAGUGUUGUUCCAGUUCGAAAUAAAUAAUGUCAUUCCGGUCACUAAGUAGGUAUACCAAAAAAAUAGAUCUAAACCAGGUUAACGAGGCUAUCACUGUACACACGAGAUUUAGAGCAAAGGCUUGACAAAGAGUUGUGCUUCAGAUGUUAAUGAAAAAUGUGCAUUCAACCUCGGCCAUAAAAGCCUUUGAAGGUUUCACUAGAAUAAAAGUUAGAGUUGAUAACUUCUUGAUUUCGAUCUUUAGGAUAUUGUAGUUGCAAGUAGAGUUGAACGAGGAUCGGAUGGACUCCAUGCAGAGGUGAGGCAGAGGAAAUGAUAGAAGUUGUUAAUCUCCAGAUUGAUAUGAACUUUGACAUCUUGAGAGCUCGCUGAGGUUUGAAUCUUAAGAGCUUCAGUACAUGGGAGGUUCAAUUCUUUAUCCAACGAGAGACCCCUAUGAAAUUGAAAGGUCAUGGUCUCGAUUUAUAGAGAAAUUGGAUGGGCUUUAGGUGAACUUGGGCUCAUUUGAUUGCUACAGUUGGACUUGCGACAAAUUAAUUGUUGGGCUUGGACUUCAGUCCAUUUCAGAGUUGAGUUGGAAGAUCUGCCGAUCUAGUCAUUCGACUUGGCCAAGUACCCAAUUUUUUUGUUGGAUGUGAAUCCAGUUGGAGAUGAGUACACGUUGUGAAGGAAAGGGAAACACUGUAUAUGAGGGUAAAAUUGAUUGUGUUGAUAAGGAGUAAUUUAAUCGAUCAUAGCUGACUUCUUAGCAAUUGAAACCUUUUAGGGAAUUGUGGACGUUGGUAUGUUGGGUGAAUCGCGAAAACGAUAGGCUGGAAUAUCUGACUGGAACCAUGGAUUAGGUGCUAGUUAAUAGGCCAAUUCCCUCAUACUAUGACAUUCUGGACAAAAGUGUGAAGAAGAUGUAAUACGAAGUUUGGUCAAUUUAUAUGGUGGAUCACUUCAAGCUUCAUCUAAGGCAGAAAUGCUCGUUGAGGACCGCUAGACUGAAAAACAUGGCAGACGAAGGGAGCCAAGGAGUUCCUUUUAGAACUACAAAACUAUGAAAUCGAAAAUGGAGAUGGAUGAGUGAUCGACAGCAAAAAACCGAAGACAAAAAUGGAGAUAGAGAAAGAAUCUACUGCCAUGGUUCAAAGAUUUAACUGCAGAUACAGAUACGAUGGACUGCAGUAUUUGAAUCACCGCGAUGGAGUUUAACCUCCACAUAUCGAAGACCGAGUUGGAGAUCCGAUCGGCUAUAUUACAUCCAUGCUGGAGAUCCAAUCGACUGCGCCACAUCAACGUUCGACAAUGUAGAUGGACAUUGUACAAAAUGGAGCAAAUUGAAGAAGAAGUUGGUGAUAGAAGAUGCGUACAUGGCAGAUGGUGAUGUAGAUCGAGAUAACAGCCCUUACUCCAAGAUGCCGGUGGUUAUUAGUGCGGCACAUCAAAGAUGAUGACGACCACAUGGGGGUUGGAGAUUUUGAUGGCUGCGACUACCGCAGAGCUGCAAACCAUGGUAACAGUAUCAGAUCAAAUUCCCUAUCCCGAUAAUUGAAGAACUACUAGAUAAACUACAUGGUGGCAACUAUGAUUCAUCCAAGAUUAUGACUUUAAAAUCGAGGAUACACAUGAUGACAAAUGCAACGGAUGAAGGAGGAAGAUGGUGAUGACUGCAAUACAUGGACAUUUCGACACUCACGGAAGCGACACUACGAAGAUUCUUAUGGUUACUGCCACUUCGAAGCCUCAGACAAUGACCCCAGCAACACAUUCCAAUCUCUAAUGAAUCAGGUAUUCAAACCCUUUCUUAUGGAGAUGAUGAUUCUUGUAUUUUUUGCAGAUGGAUAUUCUUACGACUGCUACACGUCGAAGAUGCAUAUGAUAACGAUUGAGACAUGUCGAAGAUGCAUUUGGUGACAACUGCGUUUUUUCAAUACUGAAGGAUAAUGUAAUUAUUUGCAAAUCAGAGAUGAAAAUGAUGAUUAUAGCAACACCCCCAAGAUUCAGAUGAUAUUGAGGGCAACACCUAGGAUUUCUAGCCGAGGAUGUUGAAGUCUGCAUGAAGUAAAAGAAUUUGAAGCAUGAUUAAUUUUGGCCACAACACAAAAGACAUCAUCUGGCUGAAGAGGAUUUCUUUAGAAUAUAACACGUGUUAUUAUAUGAAAAUGAGUCCUCUCGGUGUAAGAUUUAUGAGAAGAGGAAUCAUCUCGGCAGCAACACAUUUAAAAGCUGAAGAUUACUUCAGAAGAAUGCAUUCAAAUGGAGAUGAGGAAGACAAACAUCAGUUCAUUUGCAGCAACCGAGAGAUUAUGCAGAUGACAACCAUAUCAGCUGCUAGCACUUGCCUGAAUUGGUCAUUGUCGUUUACUAUUGAGACUGAUGCUUCAGGAGUGGGAUUUCUUAGGAGUGGUAGCUGCUCAUCAAGGAGACAUCCUAUCGACCUUACUUCAAUCAGAAACUAUCAAGAGCCCAAUCUAAGUGCUACUGAUAUGAAAGGGAACUUGAUGCUGCCUACGUAUCGUUUUUAUCAGUGCAGAAAUGGAGGCACUACCUACUGGGAAGGAGAAUUCACUAUUAUUUCAGAUUCAGUGAUUAAGCUCUCAAAUUCUUGUGGACUAAGAGCAUCAUGCAAGGGAGGCUCUUGCGAUAAGGACCUUUACACAUUUCAGAAAUAGUUUCGAACAAAACUUCUUGGGCUUAUUGAUUUCGAGAUAUUGGUGAAUACAACCAGACUUGGCUUCAGAAUAAAGGGACCUGCUGAUGCUUCUUUCAAGGAAGGACUUCCAAACCGUGCGAAUUGAGACACAACUGACUAUCAACUCGGCAUUAUUUUCGUCAUGAAGUGAUUUGAGCUUAAUAGUUAGAAGGAAGUUGAGAUAUUGAUCACAAGUAACUCCAAGAGAUCAUAAGCAGAGGUUGAAAGGGGGUGGACCAGGGAUGUGGAAAUAUCAAUGGAUUAAUGAUAAGCUGCUGUAUGAAAGGAAGGAUAGUGUUAAUCACGACAUUCCUCCCUCAUUCCUAGGUUGUUGCACAACCUUCCCAUGACUCCAUACUAGGAGGUCAUUCCGAUUUCUUGAGACGAUCUUAGACAAAAGUGAUUAGUGGAGAAUUGUUUUGGAUAGGGAAUGAAAGCAGAUGAUGAAGAAGUGACGUGGAAGAAUGUGACAUAUGCCAACAAAACAAAUUCGAAGACUACCAAUACCAGCCAGAGUUGACAACCCAUUCCCAUUCCCGAGAGGAUAUUGGAAGAUUAUCGACAAUGGAUGUCUUAUGAGGACCUCAUCUUUUCCUUAGAUUGGCUUAGACUUAUACAUGUAAUUAUGGUGAACCAUUGUUUCCUGACCAGCUUCCUGUACCAUUGGGUCUGAUGCAAAUAACACUUCGAGUUUGACGAAAACCGAAGGUCUACACGAUUUACGAGUUUUGACUGUCCAUUUUUCGCAAUCAUUUGCAAUAGGCUGUUCUUGGAUUUGAUUUUCUCUUUGUCUCGAUCGUGGACUACAAUCGAACGUGUAGAGCUUCAAUAUGGCCGACACUAAACAAAGUUUUGGUAGUACUCACAACGUUAUGUCCCUUGCGGAACACUCUAAGUCAUCACAAUUACAACAUGAUUAGUCUGAGCUAAUGGAUCCAUAUCUAUUACGAUUGGCGUUUCAGGAGCCAAUUUUAUAUUUAGUUUGAGAAGUACUGAUAUGGAUGAUCAUAUGAUUGAAGAAUCCCCCAAAAGAUGCAAAGCAGAAGUAAGGAUCAUCGGCUUUCUGUGAUUGAUUCGCCCGUUUGUAUUCUGUCAGAUCAAGAAGUUGCUAAUCUGAGAGUGAGAUUAAUUGGAUUGGUUGAUCACUGUGAGGAUCUGGUUAAAGAACUUUCUGGAAUUUCUUUAAGGGAUUUUCUAUACCUCUAGGUAAAGAGCAAGUGCAUAGAAUGUUUGAAGUCUUGUAGUGCAAGAUUUUUUCGGGGUUGCAGGAACAACGAAAGACUGAGUUCUGUCACCAGCUGUAAUCUUUAUAGCGGCAUUAAGAAGAUCAUUGCCGAGCUUGGCUUGUUGAAUUAAAAAACCUUUUAGUCCUCUACGAGUGUUACUAAGUUCCAUAUCAAGUUCAACGAGUAGCAAAAUCGGCAAAUGUGUAUGAUUUUAUCCCCUGCAAAAUAUAGAGCUCUUACCAAUGAAUGCCUUGGGUGCACAUCUCGGCUAAAGACAUUUCUAUGAGCUUCUCUCUGCACUCCAGGCUUAGAGCUCUCCAUCAUUUAUGUAGUUGAUGCCUGGCUCACUCGAGUCCUAUUCGCUAUUUGUCAAAGCCAUCAUGCCGACGAUACGCUGUGUGCUGUAAAUUCGCUUCAGAAAGUCCCAGUCAAGUUGCUCCCAACUAUCAAUGGAUUCAUGUUCAAGAACAAUGAACCCUUCGAAGGCGUUACCUUUCAGAGUUCGAAUAGUACUGAUUCAUCGACAAAUCUCAGAGCCUAGUAGGAGAUUCACAUGUUUCAGUGAACUGAGCAACGUGUUGUCUUGGGUAAGCCAGGCCAUCAAACUGUUGAAACGUGAUUGGUCGGUAUCAAUUCGGCAUUAUAUAAGAAUAGUCAACGGUCUCAACAUGCUCAGAUAGCCUCCACAUGUGAUAUACCAGAGGCGUCAGUUACUAUUUCGGCAGAUGAGUUUGCUAAGUUUCAGAAUUACCAAGAGUCAUUACAAGCGUCAUCUUCCUCUACUCCGAUUGCAUCCACUGUUGCCCCAGGUAAUAUAAAGUAUCUUCUUACAUCAUCUACCAAAUGGGUCAUAGACUCUGGUGCCACAGCUCAUAUGACAGGUAAUUCUCACCUAUUUUCUAGACCGUUGUCCCCUGCCCCUUUUCCAUCGGUUACAUUGGCCGAUGGCUCCACAUCUUCUGUUCUUGGCUCUGGCACUAUUCACCUUACCCCAUCAUUUUCUCUCUCUUCUGUGUUACAUUUGCCUAACUUAUCCUUUAAUUUAAUUUCUACUAGUCAACUUACUCAUGACCUAAAUUGUGUUGUCAUGUUCUUUUCUGGUUAUUGCUUGUUUCAGGAUCGUGUGACGAAGAAGAUUAUUGGUAGAGGAUAUGAGUCAGGAGGCCUUUAUCUCUUUGAUCAUCAAGUAUCGCAAGCUGUGGCGUGUCCUGUCGUUCCCUCUCCUUUUGAAGUCCAUUGUCGUUUAGGUCAUCCAUCUUUGUUCGUGUUGAAGAAACUUUAUCCAGAAUUUAGGUCUUUGUCCUCUUUAAAUUGUGAUUCGUGUCAAUUUGCGAAAUUUCAUCGUCUUAGUUCGAGUCCUCGAGUCGAUAAACGAGCAAUUGCUCCAUUUGAGUUACUUCAUUCUGAUAUUUGGGGUCCGUGUCCAGUUGCAUCUCAAACGGGCUUUCGUUAUUUUGUUACUUUUGUUGACGAUCAUUCUCGUCUAACUUGGUUAUAUUUAAUGUCUCUACAGCUUGUUUUUUGAUUAAUAGAAUGCCUUCCUCUGUUCUUAAUGGUGAGAUUCCCUAUCGUGUUCUUUUUCCUACCAAGCAUUUGUUUCCUAUUGCUCCUAAGAUAUUUGGUUGUGUCUGUUUUGUUCGUGACGUUCGUCCUCAUCAUACUAAGUUAGAUCCCAAAUCCUUGAAGUGUAUCUUCUUGGGUUAUUCACGUGUUCAAAAGGGUUAUCGUUGUCAUUGUCCUACCCUUAAAAGGUAUCUGGUUUCGCCUGAUGUUGUCUUUUUUGAAGAUACACCCUUUACUUCAUCACCAUCGAGUUUGUGUCAGGGGGAGGAUGACAAUCUUUUUAUAUAUGAGGUUACCUCUCCCACACCAUCCUUGUCUACUGAUGUGCCUCCUUCCCGCCCGUUGAUUUCUCAAGUCUACUCCCGACGACCUCCACCACAACCUUCAGACUCAUGUCCUCCAUCAAUGCUUCCUUCAUCAUGUGAUCCAGCGCCAAGUGAUGAUCUUCCCAUUGCUCUUCGCAAAGGUAAACGCAAGUGUACUUACCUUGUUUCUUCCUUUAUUUCCUAUCACCAGUUAUCUCCCUCCACAUAUGCGUUUAUUACGUCUCUUGAGUCCACAUCUAUUCCUAACUCUGUUCAUGAAGCUUUGUCUCAUCCUCGCUGGCAAAAUGCAAUGAUUGAGGAGAUGCCAAAUCAGCAACUUGUUAAAGAAGGAGAAUUAUGUAAAGAUCCUGAGAGACAUAGGAGAUUAGUUGGGAAGUUGAACUACUUAACAGUGACUCGACCAGACAUUGCAUAUUCUGUAAGUGUUGUAAGUCAAUUCAUGUCUUCCCCUACAGUGGAUCAUUGGGCUGCAGUAGAGCAGAUUUUGUGUUAUCUAAAAGCUGCUCCUGGACGUGGGAUCCUAUACAAAGAUCAUGGACAUACGAGAGUUGAAUGUUUUUCUGAUGCUGAUUUGGCGGGGUCUCGUGAGGAUAGGAGAUCGACUUCUGGAUAUUGUGUUUUUGUAGGUGGAAACUUAGUUUCAUGGAAGAGUAAGAAACAAAAUGUUGUUUCUCGUUCGAGUGCUGAGUCAGAAUAUAGAGCUAUGGCACAAUCUGUGUGUGAAAUAGUAUGGAUUCACCAACUAUUAUCUGAGAUAGGCUUCAGUAUUACCGUGCCAGCUAAAUUAUGGUGUGAUAAUCAAGCUGCACUUCAUAUUGCAUCUAAUCCAGUAUUUCAUGAACGAACUAAACAUAUUGAGGUGGAUUGUCACUUCAUUCGUGAGAAAAUCCAAGAUGGGUUGGUGUCCACAGGAUAUGUGAAGACCGGAGAACAAUUGGGAGAUAUUCUAACUAAAGCUUUAAAUGGAACAAGGAUAAGCUAUCUGUGCAACAAGCUGGGCAUGAUCGACAUAUUUGCUCCAGCUUGAGGGGGAGUGUUAUGAUAUAUAUAUAUAUACAUAUGUCCUUUAUUGUAAUUUUACAUAGUCUCUAGGGUUGUUAAAUUUGGUAGUAUGGGGUUCCAUCUCAAAACCAAUUGGCAAUGAGAGGAGUAGCCCAUCUACCUUAUAUGGAGUACGAGUCCCCUUGGUUUUUCCAAUGUGGGACUCUCAACUUCUCCAACAGAUUUUAUAGAAGGACUACCCUUAGUUGGAGAUAUAAUGUAAUUAUGGUGGUAGUUGACCUUUUAAGUAAGUACUCCUACUUCCUAACUCUUAAACACCCAAAACAAGUGUCAGGAGACCUAUCUAAGGUGCUUCUGUAAUGAACAGCCGAGAAAAUGGGACAAGUCGAUUCCUUGGGCAAAGUUGUGGUACAACACCACCUUCCAUACGUCUACCAAAGUAACUCCUUUUCAAACUGUUUAUGGCAGACCCCCCCCCCCCCCCCCCCCCCGCCAUUAUUAUCGUAUGGGAUGAAUAAAUCUCCAAAUAAUGAGUUAGAAGCCAUGUUAAAAGAAAGAGACUUAGCAAUCAAUGCCUUGAACGAAAAUCUUUGUGCAGUCCAAAACCGAAUGAAAAAAAAUGGCAGAUCGGAAUCGGAGAGAAUUGAAGUUCAAGGUAGGGGAUGAAGUCUAUUUGAAACUAAGACCCUAUAGACAACGCUCAUUGGCUAGAAAGAAGUGUGAGAAACUAGCGCCAAAAUUUUAUGGGUCGUACAAGAUUACAGAGGAGAUUGGAGUUUUCCCUUCGAAGUUACCAGCAGAAGCUGUCAUUCACAAUGUGUUCCACAUUUCUCAACUGAAACUGAAACUCAGAAAACAUGUAGUCCAACGUCAACAACCUAUCCUAACUGAGGACUUCGAAUUGCAGUUGUGGCCAAAAACUGUGUUGGGAGUAUGCUGGAAUAAAGAGCUGAGUGGAAAUGAAUGACUAAUUAAAUGGAAAAAUCUACCAGAUAGAGAAGCCACGUGGGAAUCAGUCUAUCUGCUGAAUCAACAGUUUUCUAAUUUUCACCUUGAGGGCAUGGUAAACUUGGAACCAAGGGGUAUUGUAAGACCUCAAUCGUUCACACAUAUAAAAAGAGGAGCAGAAAGGUAAAUGAACAAACAAUUAAUGAUGAGAGAAUGUGUAAGGAUUCUACUUGAAUCACACAAUUGUUUGUUCAUUUACCUUUCUGCCCCUCCUUUUAUAUGUGUGAAUGAUUGGGGUCUUACAAUACCCCUAGGUUCUAACUCACCUUGUCCUCAAGGUGGAAGCUAGGGAACUGCUGAUUCAGUAGAUAUACUGAUUCCCAUGUUGCCUCACUAUCCGGUAGAUUCUUCCAUUUGACCAGCCAUUCAUUUCCACACGUCUCCUUGUUCCAUCAUACUCCCAACACAGUUUCCGGCCAUAAUUGUAAUUUGAAGUCCUCGGUUAAAUAUAGGCGGUUACUGUUGAACGACAUGUUGUUUUCCCAACUUCAGUUUCAAUUGGGAAAUGUGGAAAACAUUGUGAAUUACAGCUUCUGGUGGUAGUUUCAAACGAUACGUGACCUCCCCUAUCUCCUCAAUAAUCUCAUACAGCCCAUAAAAUUUCGAAGCUAGCUUCUCACAUUUCUUUUAAAUAAACUUCAUCACCAACUUUGAACUUGAGUUAUCUGCGAUUCUGAUCUACCAUUUUUUUCAUUCUGUUUUGGGCUGUACAGAGGUUUUCUUUCAAGGCAUUGAUUGCUAAAUCUCUUUCUUUUAACAUGGCUUCUACCUCAUUAUUUGAAGAUUUUUCAUCCCAUAAGAUAACAAUGGAGGGGAGGUGGAGGGUAUUAAUAUAAUUAGAUUAUUCUUAGGAGAUUAUUCUGGAGAUAUUAUUCUGGAGAUAUUAUUUGAUAUUAUUUCCUUAAGUGUAUUUCUCUAUGGUUAUAUAUAGGCUUGUAUCUCUAUUAAAUAAUCAAUGAAAGAUAGAUUAAUUCCAUAAAAUCAACAUGGUAUCAGAGCAAUAGGGUUUUAGUCUCCUUGUAUUCUAGCCGUCACAUUCCCGCUCGUCUGCCUCCGUUGAUUCGUCGACGGAGGCAGAGCCAUACCCAUCAUCAAUCAACACAUCAUGUCUCCAAGUAAUUCGCUCUGCCUCCUAGAUCAAAAUCUGCAUCUCUGAUUCUGCCGCCGCCGCCACUACUCCUUCCGCCAUCACUGCUCCUUCCAUCCACACAGUUCGUCGCACUCUCGACCCAUAUCCGCUCUCCAUUCGUCCUCACUUAGAUCUACUUGUGCGCACAUUGCAAGCACCAAUUUGUUCGUGCAUCUCUGUUCGUGUCUUCGACUUCCAGAUCCGUGUUUUAUUUCAUCUUUCGCCUUCGAAUCAUACUGUUCCAGAUCAGACCGACCUGCCGCCGCCGCCCUUUACUCGUACCAAACAAUCUCUUUCGAUUGAAGACUCCCGAUCCUGAAGAGGGUGAAUCUUUGUUCAGAUCCAUGAUCCACCGCUCCGCUCCACUCACAGCCGACGACGCACAGGUUCGGCUCUUGUCCGCUCUCCAUUUGUGAAGCUCGCCGUCAUGAAACGCAUCUUCUCUUUUUGCGAAGAACGCCGCAAAGCUCUCUAUCUACUCAACCUCUCAGCUCUCUUCAGUUUUCGUUCUGUUCACCCAGAUUUCCUGUUCAGUUUGAUUCUGACUUGCUUUAGUUUAGUUCGUUCAGUUCCAUUCUGAUGACGGAACGCUCCUGCCCAAUUCAGACCACGUUUUCAUCCUGAUUUGGUUCUACUUUGCUUCAGUUUUGCUCUUUCAUUUUGCCCCCGGAGUUCUUGUUUCGUUCUUCCUAGGUUCUGUUAUAGAUCUCUAUACGAGGAUCUAUGUUUCUAUCCCAGAAGUUCUUCGUUUCGCUCUUCGUGGGUUUGUUUUAGCCUAGAAGUUCUUUGUGUGUUUGUUCUUCGGGUUUUUAUUCUAUUCUAGAUAUAUUGUUUCUUUUCUUAGUUCUUAGCAAACUCAAGUUUGUGAUUUCAACCUUGAGUUUGAGGGAGGGUAUUAAUAUAAUUAGAUUAUUCUUAGGAGAUUAUUCUGGAGAUAUUAUUCUGAAGAUAUUAUUUGAUAUUAUUUCUUUAAGUGUAUUUCUCUAUGGUUAUAUAUAGGCUUGUAUCUCUAUUAAAUAAUCAAUGAAAGACAGAUUAAUUCCAUAAAAUCAACAGAGGGGAGGUCUGCCAUAAACAGUUUGGUAAGGAGUUGUUUUGGUGGACGCAUGGAAAGUGAUAUUAUACCAUAACUCUGCCCAAGGAAUUAGUUUAUCCCAUUUUCUUGCAUGCUCAUUGCAUAAACAUCUUAGAUAGGUCUCUAGGCACCUAUUUACUCUCUCGGUUUGUCCAUCAGUUUGCGGGUGACAUGUUGUGCUUCUUUUCAAAAGUGUGUCCAUGGUGGUGAAUAACUCUUUCCAGAAAUUGCUAAGAAAGAUCUUAACCCGAUCGGUAAUAAUGGACUUGGGAAUACCAUGUUUGCUGAUGGACUUGGGAAUACCAUGUUUGCUGACCACUCUUUCCAGAAAAAUGGAAGCCCAUUGCUUCGCUGUGUACGAGUGUUUAAGAGUUAAGAAGUAGGAAUACUUACUUAAACGGUCAACUACUACCAUAAUUACAUUACAUCCCUCGCUAAGGGUAGUCCCUCUAUGAAAUCCAUCCAAUCUUCCAAUAUCUUUUCAAGAAUGGGAAUGGGUUGUAGCACUCUGGUAGGAUUGGUAGCUUCGAAUUUGUUACGUUGGCAUAUGUCACACUCUUCCACAUAUUUCUUCACAUCUACCUUCAUUCUCUUCCAAAAUAGUUCUCCACUAAUCCUUUUGUAAGUUCUCAAGAAUCUGGAGUGUCCUCCUAGUAUGGAAUCAUGGAACGUGUGUAGUAGCCAAGGAAUGAGAGAGGAGUGUCGUGAUAGCACUACCCUUCAUUUAUAUAACAGCUCCUCAUUACUCCACUAGUACUUUCCUCCUUGGUUCACCCCUUUUUUAGCUCUACUAUAAUUAUCUGGAGUUCUUGAUCGUUCUCAACUUCCUUCUCUAUAAGUUCUACGUCAACAAUGCUCGUUGUCGUCAUUGUGUUCAACUCCACAGUUUGAUCUUUCCUUAAGAGUGCAUCAGCGGCUUUAUUCUGCAAACCCGGUUAGUAUAAUAUCUCGAAAUCAUACCUCAAGAGUUUAGUUAACCAUUUCUAGAAUGAGGUUGAACUUCCCUUUGUUCCAACCAGAAUUUCAGAGCUUUCUGAUCUAAAAUAAUAGUGAAUUUCCUCACCAGUAGGUAGUGCCUCCAUUUCUGCACUGAGAGAACAACUGCCAUGAGUUCCCGUUCAUAUAUGGACUUAACUUGAGCUCUUGAGGAAAGAGCUCAAGUUUCUGACUGAAGAAUGUUAUAGGGUGUCCUUGUGACAACAGCGCUCCUAAGCCUACUCCUGAAGUAUCAGUCUCAAUUGUAAAUGGAUGUGACCAAUCAGGCAGUGCUAACACUGGUAUGGUCAUCAUUGCUAAUUUCAGUUGUUCAAAAGUUGCUAUGGCUUCCUCAUUCCACUUGAACGCGUUCUUCUGAAUUAACUUAGUUAAGGGCGCGGCAAUCUCCCCAUAACUCUUCACAAACCUUCGAUAAUAUCCGGUCAGCCCUAGAAAUCCCCUCAGCCCAGUUAUGUCCUUCGGUUGUGGCCAAUUAAUCAUGCUUCGAGUCUUUUCCUCAUCAGCUUCGACUCCUCUACUGGAAAUCAUGUGCCUCAAAUACUGAACUUGGGAGUGGGCUAUUACACAUUUGUUUCUAUUUGCAAAUAGUUGAUCAUCCCUCAAUAUGGCAAAUACCAUCCCCAUAUGUUUCAUAUGCUCGUCUAUAUUAACACUAUAAACUAAAAUAUCAUUAAAAAAAGACAAGAACACAUCUUCUGAGGAAAGGUUUGAAUAUUUGGUUCAUCAAAGAUUGGAAGGUGGCCGGAGCAUUAGUGAGACCAAAAGGCAUCACUAAGAAUUCGUAGUGCCCUUCGUGCGUGCGAAAAGUUGUCUUCUCCACAUCUUCCCCCUUCAUUCUUAUCUGAUGAUAUCCAGAUUUAAGAUCUAAUUUAGAGAAUAAUGUCGCCCCAUGUAGUUCAUCUAGGAGUUCUUCAAUCACCGAAAUGGGGAAUUUGUCGGCCACGGUUACUUGAUUCAGUUUACGGUAGUCUACAUAGAAUCUCCAUCCAUAUCCUUCUUCUUCACCAAUAGUACUGGGCUAGAGUAAGGGCUGUGACUUGGCCGAAUCACCCCUGCUUGUAGCAUUUCUAUCACCAGUUUUUCAAUCUCUUCUUUUUGUACAUGUCCAUACUUAUAUGGUCGAACAUUGAUUGGUCUGUGAUCGGGUAAAGUCAAAAUGCAGUGGUCUACGGUUCUCUUGGGAGGUAAACCUAUUGGUAGCCUAAAUAUGUACGUGUAUUGAUUGAGUAAUUGUUGAACCAUGGGUAAUCCUUCAUCAUCUCCUUUUAACUCACUUUCUGUUUCAUAUUCCUCUUCCCAUUCAACUUCAUAAUUUUGCAAUUCUAAAAGAAAUCAUCGGUCGCCUGAUUGCCAUGUUUUUUCUAUGGUCCUCAACGAACAUUCUGACUUGAUGAGGGAAGGGUCCCCUCAGUGUUAUUCUUCUUCCUUUUUUCCAAAAUGUCAUGGUUAGGGAUGGUCAAUGCACCUUCAUGGUUCCUGUCGAAUCAAGUCAUUGCAUCCCUAAAAGUCUACAUUUCCCAGUUCCACCGCAAGAAGUCAGCUAUGACUGUUAACUCCUUCAAUUUCACUUUUACCCUCUUACAUAUUCCUUUUCCUUCGCAACGGGUGCUGUCUUCAAUGGUUACUCCAAAUUGGGUUCUUGGAUCAAUGCCCAACCGCAGUUCUUCCACCAACACUUGACUGAUAAAAUUAUUGGUCGCACUGCUAUCAAUAAGGAGUAUUACCUCUCUUCCAUUCAUUUGUCCUUUCAAUUUCAUAGUUCCUUUGGACGUAACUACCGUGAUCACCCUUAAUUCAAUCUCAGCAAUCUCAUUCAAAUCUAAUUGAUUCGGUUCUAUCACUUCCUCUACCUCAUCCUCUGUGGUCGCUUCCUUUUCGUUACUCUCUUCCUCAUUCAAUAUAAGUAGCAUCAACUCUCUUUUUUCUCUGACCUUGCAUUUAUGGCCGAGUGAAUAUUUUUCAUUACACCUGAAACACAGCCCUUUAUCAAGCUUCGCUGUGUCUGAAAGCCUAUUUACUGGAGGAUCAUUUUUUUGGUAACCCCUUUUACCGGAAUGGUUAUCUGUUUCAUGGCAAACUCUGCCGUCUUUUGUUCAACCUUCUCAUUCUUACCUUGAAUCUUGCCUGUGUUCUCACUUCUUUUGGGCUCAAUCCUACUCAAUUCAUCCAUAGCCAGUUGUAAGGCUAGAUUUCUAUCAUUCACCAGUUGAGCUUCCUUCAUACACUCCUCUAAAGUUCGAGGGUGUCUACUAAUCACUUAUGCUUGUAAUGCGGCUCGAGACCCGUCAAAACGCGUCCUGUAGUACACUUUCGGCCAUGUCAGGGAGUGGAGCUGAAUAUGUAACGAACUUCUUAACAAAAUCGCUAUAGGAUCCUUCUUGCUUGAUACGGAUCAGUCUUGCCCCUAAGCUAUGUUGUUCGGUGUCAUUGAAAAAAUCAAACAUCCUUCCUUUCAAGUCCUCCCAUGAUUCCACCCUCUUUCGGUGGUGGCUCCACCUAUACCAAUCUACUUCCUCUUGUCCAAAACUCACAACUGCUACCUUGACCUUCUUCGCUUCAAGUAAGUUAUUAAUCUCAAAGAAGUGUUCCGCCCGGUAAGCCUAGGAUUCGGGAUUCACCCUUGUAAACAUUGGCAUUUACAGCUUCUUGUAUUUACUUCGGUCCACGUUACCUCCACUAUUCUCUGCAGUCGUCUCUGUAUCCUCGAGCUUCUCUUUAAGUUUCAACAUCGGACCUUCAGCAGUCCUAGCCUCUUCUCUUCUUUUGUAACUGUGGUUUUCUCGCAGUUCAUCAGCCAUUCGAUCCAUCAACUUCUUCAUCUCCAGCAUCAUCUCCUUUAAACCCAUAAUUUCUUUUUCAGUCCCAUCUACCCGUUCCUCUAUUUGUUGCUGAGCAAUGAGGCGCAUGACCACCCCCAGUGUGGUGGCUCUAAUACCAAAUGUAAGGAUUCUACUUGACUCACACAAAUAUUACACCCUCACAAUGGCAAAACAGAGGCAACACUCAGUAAUCUUUAUUUAUAUAUAGGCUAAAACAGUUACACUAGUCACAAUAUCCAAAACAGUAAAGAACAUACCCAACUUCCUUUUGGGAUAGCUAAAUACCCUCUCCAGGCUAUGGCAGCCGCCUUGACAAAGGAUAAAAUAAAACCUACCUACCCAAUCCCUAAAAGACCUAUUUAUAUACCUCAUCUCAUCAUUCUUUCAUUUAUGUGCCUGGCCCCACUCGCACAAUCCCUUUCUAUCAUUCCGUCGUCAUUAAUUGUUUGUUCAUUUACCUUUCUGCCCCUCCUUUUAUAUGUGUGAAUGAUUGGGGUCUUACAGAAUGAUGGAAAGGGAUCGUGCGAGUGGGGCCCAUGCAUAGGAAUGAAAGAUUGAUGUAAGGAGGUAUAUAAAUAGAUCUUUCGAGAUUGGGUAGGUAGGUUUUAUUUUCUUUAUGUCAAGUCAACUGCCAUAGCCUGGGAGGAUAUUCAGUUAUCACAAAAGGAAGCUAGGUAUGUUCUUUACUGUUUAUCUUGUUAUUUUGGAUAUUGUGACUAGUGUAAUCUUUUGGCUUAUACAUAAAUAAAGUUUAGCAGAGUGUUGUCUCUGUUUUGCCAUUUUGUGUGUGGAAAUAUUUGUGUGUUUAGUAGAGUCGUUACAGAGUCAUGUAACAAAUUAUGAUUACACAGGGAUAGGUGAUGGCUAAGAUGCAUAUAAGGAUUUUCCUUUCAAGAAUAUCGAGGAAAGGAAUUCCAUAAGAACAAUAUAAUUUAAAGGUAUCAUUCCAAGCGUCUAAUUUAGGCUCUAAUCUAGCAGACUGACUAAGUUAUAAAUUAAAAGCGGUAAAGAGUUACGUGGAAACCUAAGUACUAGGAGAAAACCACAACCUAACUUUCUUAUUAUUAUCUCAUAUGAACAAAAGAUACAAAGGAGAAAAAAAAAAUAAACAAGUUUAAGAUAAAAAAGAAGAGAAUAUUAGGGUUAAUCUUUCCUUGGGCUUAAAGCCCAUUAAUUCUAACAUUAUAUAUCUAGUAUCAGGAAGACAGCGUACCUAUAACUUCUUCAACUUGAACAGGAAUAAAGUGGGCCUGUAAGAGGUUGAGAUGCAUACAUGCAAAUCAGUUACAGCUGAGAGUGACUAAAGAGGCAAUUGUUUUGUGAAGAAUAAUAAUGUUUACACUGUUAGGCUUCUUCAAGCAAUCAAAUCUUCUGCCAGCUUCUGAGAAUCUCAACCAACCCAUCACCAACCUAUAAAAAAGUGACUAUGUCAAGAUUCAGUUCUUAAAUUUCUUCCUCAAUGAAAAUGUCAAGAUUCAGUUCCUAAUUUUCUUCGACAAGGAAAACAGAUUGCAGCACUAAGAGGAUAUUUAACAGAAUCUAAUGGUAUAGAAAACCCUGACGUGGGUAUCAACCCACAAGGAAAACAGCUUCUGAGAAUAUGUUUUCCUCGAUACUUACCCAUUACCAACAGAAACCUGAGAAAAUACAAGUUUAAAUGUCAGAAACAGACAUAAACUAUAUGAUUAAAAGAAGAAUGCAAUUGAUCGGCAAGAGUAUCUUCCUAAUUCAACACCUAAUAGUGAUGCAAGACAACAAGAAACGAUUGUGCAUUUAUUUUAUCAAAGAACAGGCUUUUGUGGCACGCAGCCAACCCUGAAUACUAUACUGAGAUUGGAUCCCACAUGAACCAAUAUAAUCAUGGAGGAAAAGAAGAUAUGUAAAUUGGAGCCAAAGUAAAAUGAAGUGCAGCACCAACCACAUUCAGAUUAUGCCGGCUACAUUGCAAAAGAAUGCAGAUGUCGUUGAUUGCCCGGUCAACAACUGACUGAUCUGAAAAAUAUUCAUCAUUAUAUGAGGAAGUCAAUGUCAUUAAGCUCUGGUGUACAAUAACCAAGCAAAACAAGGAAAGGUUCAGAAAAUCUCCUGCCACGAACUUGAUGAAAUCAUAAAUUUGAAGGAUAUGUUGAAAUUCAAAUUUUCUGAACAGGCAUGCAAAUUAAUUGUUGUAAGAUGUUGCAUCUUAGAACAUAAUUGCGGGUUUGAUUACCUGUAAAUAUAGAGGGAUGCAUAUAAUAUAUAUCUCUCUUUGAGCUAUGUCUAUUUUCUCCCAGAAGCUGCUGAAUUAUGAGUAGAACUCUAAGCAAGACAUCUGAUAGAACAAAAUAAUAUCAAAUACAAGUGUACUCUAUAGUCUGUACAGAUUAUGAUUUUGUAGUAUCAUUCAUCGGAAUAACUAAUUCACCUAGUCUACGGACGUGGCUUUCCCUUUGAAGUGUUAGAACAUCCUUCCCUUCAGAUAAAUUGAACCUACAACAACUGCAUAAAAAAUUAGCGAAAAAUCAUCUAAACGUCUCUUUUGGUACAAAUAUCGUUUUCAAAACACAAGUCCAAUUUCAAGAUAGUGUCAUCUUCACAUUCAAGAACUAUAACUUUCUUGAAAAAUAAAAAUAUUAUGUCUAAAAACUAAAGAAUGACUGAAAACUAGGUCAUAAACAUAAAAUGCAUUUGAGUUAAGAAUUGAGAUUGAGCAGUGACUUUUGAAAAUGACAAAUCAUAGCUAAACUAUGCAACUCUGCUUCAAGUUCUAGAGAUAUAUUCGCAUCUGAAGUAACACUGAUUUUCUGCUGGUAUUUUGUGAGCGACUACUGAUUUGGCCUUCGACACGAUCCAAUAGACCCGGUAGUAGAUAAAUAAUCGAAAACUAUAGAAAUUUUUCGCACGAAUAGGGAAAUGAAUAUUCGUAGUCUAGUAAAGCACUUAAUAACAUUGUAGAUCAUGAACUUUAUUUGGUUACCAAUUCGAAGAUUCAAAAGAUUGGAAGCAAAAUAUUCUAUACAGAAAAUUACGAACCAGUUUUCAAGGGAAUUGGAGCAGUAACUUUUGAAUCGAUCGAUGGCGAUCAUCCUGGAGCUUCCAUUGCUCAGUUCGACGAUCAUAGAUCUCGUUAGCUCUGCAAAAGAUUGUAUUGGAAAACGGAAAGAAAAUAGCAACGACGAAACAGAAAUCAACUGGAAUGAAUAUGAGAAUCAGAAAAAUCAAUGGAAUUGCGACCUGUGAUUUUUCUCAUUACUUCAAUUCUCUCCAAGCUUCCUCGGUUUCCCUCCAUUUUUCUUCGAUGCGAUUGGUUUUGAAGUGGCCUGUGGGUGUACGCAUUAGUUUAGGGGGAAAAGAGUGAAAAAACUUGGGGAAUGGUCAAAAAUAGGCCAAACGUAGGCCAAAAAUGGGGUAAAAAAAGAGUUUUAGAAUUGGUAUUAAAAAAAGUUGAGAUUUAUGAUAAAUUUGGGGUGAAAUGACGAAAAUAUCCUUAUUUAAUUUCUCAUUUCCUCUUUUCUUCAACCUAAAAACAGAACAACGCUAAAAAAACGUAAACUUGAACCUCCCGCUUUUGAACUCAUUCGCUUAUACAGUUCCUUCAACUUGGUGCCUCUAGUGAACGUCUCUUCUCUUCCAUCCAUUUCUUCUCCACUUCCAUCCAUUUCUUCUCCACGACUCUCCACUCUUUUCUGAUUUCAAAUUUUUUACCGAACCUCUCCAUUUCUUCUCCACGGGUCUCUGUUUUAGUUUCGACUUCAACUCUGGUGAACGCUUCUCCACUCCUUUCCGAUUUCAGCUUUGUUUUCACCGGACCUCUCCAUUUCUUCCCCACUCCUCUCCGUUGGCAGUGUCGUAUCCAUCAUCUUUGAAGUCAAGUGAGUAAUAAAAUCUGAGUUUUUUUUUAUAAACCAUUUUUUUUAAGUUGUCUGUUGAAAUAUGAGUUUUUUGUUGGGCACAUUUUAGAUAUAUCAUUAAAUUUGUAGAGAAGAAAUGCAUAUGUCGUACAGGCACACACACAUAGAGAGUCGUAGGAACAUGAAUUCCGUUUAGAAUGCAUGUUUAACUAGUUUACAGAGCUUUAAUGGUUUAGGGUUAACAAUUUUAUUAGACUUGGCAAGUAAUAACCUUGAAUUUUUUAUCUCGCACCUACCAAAAUUUGAGUAAAAGUUUCAAGAGGAGAGUGCUACCCUUCCUAAACCGUUUAGAAUGCAUGUUUAGCUAGUUUACUGGGCUUUUAAGAGUUUAGGGUUAGCAAUUUUAUUAGACUUAGCAAGUAAUAGCCUUGAAUUUUUUAUCUCGCGCCUAUCUCACACCUACCAAAAUUUUAGUAGAAGUUUCAAGAUGAGAGUGCUACCCUUCCUAAACCGUUUAGAAUGCAUGUUUAGCUAGUUUACUGGGCUUUAAGAGUUUUAGCUAGUUUAUUGGGCUUUAAGAGUUUAGGGUUAGCAAUUUUAUUAGACUUAACAAGUAAUAGCCUUGAAUUUUUUAUCUCGCACCUACCAAAAUUUGAGUAGAAGUUUCAAGAUGAGAGUGUAUCCAUAUUUAAUAAGUCUCUUAUGCAAUUAUAUUUGAUUUGUUUAUUUUUUAUGCAGGCUUCAGUAUGACUUCGACAUCAACUGACGGUCUCAUGUAUAAGAUUGACCAUUCUCAUCAUUUUCAUGCUAUAGUAAGCAGUUUACAUCAUUUAGAAAAUAGUACGCGUAAUAUAAAGGCAAAAUUGAAACCGGAUCGAUUAACAUUUGAUAUUUGUCUUAUUGUCUUAUUGUAUUUCGGUCUAACAUAAAUACAUAUACAUGCAUGUGGACUUUUUUUCUUUCCAGCAAUUAUUAGUUGCGAAGUGGCAUGAAUACCAAUAAUGUAUUAAAGAGAAUCGACCAUUUCACUGGAAGGAGGAGUAUCGAUUGGUUGACUAUGUUGUCGGAUCAAAAGAAGACUUUCAAGAUCCUUGGGCGAAUGUUGAUUACAUUUACUCUUCAUUCAAUAUCCAUGGUAAUCAUUGGAUUCUAUUAUGCUUUGGACUUGGUCAGUUGUCAAGUUAAGCUUAUUUCUAUGAUGAAAGAUGCUUUUAUCCCCUCCCCAAAGAAUAUCAUUACUAUUUAUGUUUUAUUUCUGCUAACUAAUUCUUGCAUAGCAUCUGGUUUGAUAAUUAAAGUAAAGUUUCUGACAUGGAGGUUUUCAAGUUGUAAUAUGUAUUUAUGUUUUAGGUAGAUUCCCAAACUUUGAAGAAACGCUGCAGUACUAAGGUAAUUGAACGUUGUAAGGCAGAGCAUUGGGCUUACCAGAGCCAAGGUAUCUUCUUCGGUAACAAGUAAGGAUAGUCCUGAUACUACCUUUCUUUUGUUAUUGAAGUUUAUUGUUCCUUCUCUCUUGUUUGGUGGUUGUGCACCUAUAUUGAUUUGUACUUCUGUUAAUUAAUUAUAGUCCUUCUCUCUUGUUUGAGUAAUUAUUGUCUACCAUUGUGUCAGCAAAGGCUUCCCGUGGAAAUUUAGUUUGUUGUGUUGCAUGUCCAAGAUGAUUUUUGUGAUUUUAGUAUUAGAUACAUAAAAGGGAUUUUGCAUCACCACAUGAAUGACUAUUUCUAAAUAUGAACCUACAAUAACCCCAAAUGAAUACCGAAUUAAAUUGGAAACAAGGCAGAUAGAGAGUGAGAUGGAGAGUGUUUGUGUGUGCUUUAGAGUAGUUUUAAACACAUUUUUUUAGGUUUGUUUAAGACUAAGUUUGUUUCACUUGCAUAAGACUAAGUUUGUUUAAAGUGCAUUUUCACUCAUUUUGAACUUUUUGUUAGUUUGUGAGUUACGAACUUACACUUAAGCAUUGUUAGUUAAUUUCAAACAACAUUUUGUGUUUGUUUGGAACUAAGUUUAUUUAGACAUUUGAUUGACAUGUUGGGUCUCCAAGUGCUUUUUUCCACACUUUUUGAAAUUUUGGUAGGUUGUGAGUUACGAACUUACGCUCGAGUAUUGUUUGGUCCAUUUGAAAGCUUAUACACAUUUUGAACUCUUUUUAAGAUAACUUGAAACUAAGUUCAUUGCACUUACAUACUUCGUUGCCGUUUUGGGUCUUAAAGUACCUUUUUCACACUUUUUGAAAUUUUGGUAGGUUGUGAGUUACAAACUUACACUUAAGCAUUACUUGGUUGUUUUGAAAAUUCAAGUGAUACUUACACACGUUUUGAAUACAUUUUAGGUUAGAUUGAGUUUGUUGCACUUGGUUGUCAUUUUUGGUCUUGAAAUGCUUUUUUCAACCUUUUUGGUAGAUUAUGAGUUACGAACUUACACUUAGGAUUUGCUUGGUCGUUUUGAAAACUCAAGUAAUACAUAGGCACGUUUUGAGCACGUUUUAGGUUGGUUUGCAUUAAGUUUGUUUCACUUGCAUAAUUGGUUGUCAUUUUAGGUCUCAAAGUGCAUUUUCACUCAUUUUGAACUUUUUGUUAGUUUGUGAGUUACGAACUUACACUUAAGCAUUGUUAGUUAAUUUCAAACAACAUUUUGUGUUUGUUUGGAACUAAGUUUGUUUAGACAUUUGAUUGACAUGUUGGGUCUCCAAGUGCUUUUUUCCACACUUUUUGAAAUUUUGGUAGGUUGUGAGUUACGAACUUACGCUCGAGUAUUGUUUGGUCCAUUUGAAAGCUUAUACACAUUUUGAACUCUUUUUAAGAUAACUUGAAACUAAGUUCAUUGCACUUACAUACUUCGUUGCCGUUUUGGGUCUUAAAGUACCUUUUUCACACUUUUUGAAAUUUUGGUAGGUUGUGAGUUACAAACUUACACUUAAGCAUUACUUGGUUGUUUUGAAAAUUCAAGUGAUACUUACACACGUUUUGAAUACAUUUUAGGUUAGAUUGAGUUUGUUGCACUUGGUUGUCAUUUUUGGUCUUGAAAUGCUUUUUUCAACCUUUUUGGUAGAUUAUGAGUUACGAACUUACACUUAGGAUUUGCUUGGUCGUUUUGAAAACUCAAGUAAUACAUAGGCACGUUUUGAGCACGUUUUAGGUUGGUUUGCAUUAAGUUUGUUUCACUUGCAUAAUUGGUUGUCAUUUUAGGUCUCAAAGUGCAUUUUCACUCAUUUUGAACUUUUUGUUAGUUUGUGAGUUACGAACUUACACUUAAGCAUUGUUAGUUAAUUUCAAACAACAUUUUGUGUUUGUUUGGAACUAAGUUUGUUUAGACAUUUGAUUGACAUGUUGGGUCUCCAAGUGCUUUUUUCCACACUUUUUGAAAUUUUGGUAGGUUGUGAGUUACGAACUUACGCUCGAGUAUUGUUUGGUCCAUUUGAAAGCUUAUACACAUUUUGAACUCUUUUUAAGAUAACUUGAAACUAAGUUCAUUGCACUUACAUACUUCGUUGCCGUUUUGGGUCUUAAAGUACCUUUUUCACACUUUUUGAAAUUUUGGUAGGUUGUGAGUUACAAACUUACACUUAAGCAUUACUUGGUUGUUUUGAAAAUUCAAGUGAUACUUACACACGUUUUGAAUACAUUUUAGGUUAGAUUGAGUUUGUUGCACUUGGUUGUCAUUUUUGGUCUUGAAAUGCUUUUUUCAACCUUUUUGGUAGAUUAUGAGUUACGAACUUACACUUAGGAUUUGCUUGGUCGUUUUGAAAACUCAAGUAAUACAUAGGCACGUUUUGAGCACGUUUUAGGUUGGUUUGCAUUAAGUUUGUUUCACUUGCAUAAUUGGUUGUCAUUUUAGGUCUCAAAGUGCAUUUUCACUCAUUUUGAACUUUUUGUUAGUUUGUGAGUUACGAACUUACACUUAAGCAUUGUUAGUUAAUUUCAAACAACAUUUUGUGUUUGUUUGGAACUAAGUUUGUUUAGACAUUUGAUUGACAUGUUGGGUCUCCAAGUGCUUUUUUCCACACUUUUUGAAAUUUUGGUAGGUUGUGAGUUACGAACUUACGCUCGAGUAUUGUUUGGUCCAUUUGAAAGCUUAUACACAUUUUGAACUCUUUUUAAGAUAACUUGAAACUAAGUUCAUUGCACUUACAUACUUCGUUGCCGUUUUGGGUCUUAAAGUACCUUUUUCACACUUUUUGAAAUUUUGGUAGGUUGUGAGUUACAAACUUACACUUAAGCAUUACUUGGUUGUUUUGAAAAUUCAAGUGAUACUUACACACGUUUUGAAUACAUUUUAGGUUAGAUUGAGUUUGUUGCACUUGGUUGUCAUUUUUGGUCUUGAAAUGCUUUUUUCAACCUUUUUGGUAGAUUAUGAGUUACGAACUUACACUUAGGAUUUGCUUGGUCGUUUUGAAAACUCAAGUAAUACAUAGGCACGUUUUGAGCACGUUUUAGGUUGGUUUGCAUUAAGUUUGUUUCACUUGCAUAAUUGGUUGUCAUUUUAGGUCUCAAAGUGCAUUUUCACUCAUUUUGAACUUUUUGUUAGUUUGUGAGUUACGAACUUACACUUAAGCAUUGUUAGUUAAUUUCAAACAACAUUUUGUGUUUGUUUGGAACUAAGUUUGUUUAGACAUUUGAUUGACAUGUUGGGUCUCCAAGUGCUUUUUUCCACACUUUUUGAAAUUUUGGUAGGUUGUGAGUUACGAACUUACGCUCGAGUAUUGUUUGGUCCAUUUGAAAGCUUAUACACAUUUUGAACUCUUUUUAAGAUAACUUGAAACUAAGUUCAUUGCACUUACAUACUUCGUUGCCGUUUUGGGUCUUGAAGUACCUUUUUCACACUUUUUGAAAUUUUGGUAGGUUGUGAGUUACAAACUUACACUUAAGCAUUACUUGGUUGUUUUGAAAAUUCAAGUGAUACUUACACACGUUUUGAUUACAUUUUAGGUUAGAUUGAGUUUGUUGCACUUGGUUGUCAUUUUUGGUCUUGAAAUGCUUUUUUCAACCUUUUUGGUAGAUUAUGAGUUACGAACUUACACUUAGGAUUUGCUUGGUCGUUUUGAAAACUCAAGUAAUACAUAGGCACGUUUUGAGCACGUUUUAGGUUGGUUUGCAUUAAGUUUGUUGCACUUACACACUUGGUUGCCAUUUUGGGUCUUGUAGUGCUUUUUUUACAAUAUUUGAACUUUUUUCGUAGGUUAUGAGUUACGAACCUACACGUAAGCUUUUUUAGGUCGUUUUGAAAGUUCAAGUGAUACUUAGACACGUUUUGAACUCGUUUUAGGUUGGUUUGAAACUAAGUUUUAAACACAUUUGAUUGACAUGUUGGGUCUUGAAGUACUUUUUUCACACUUUUUGAAAUUUUGGUAGGUUGUGAGUUACAAACUUACACUUAAGCAUUGCUUGGUCAUUUGAAAAUUCAAGUGAUACUUACACACGUUUUGAAUUCAUUUUAGGUUAGAUUGAGUUUGUUGCACUUACACACUUGGUUCUCAUUUUUGGUCUCGAAAUGCUUUUUUCAACCUUUUUGGUAGAUUAUGAGUUACGAACUUACACUUAGGAUUUGCUUGGUCGUUUUGAAAACUCAAGUAAUACAUAGGCACGUUUUGAGCACGUUUUAGGUUGGUUUGCAUUAAGUUUGUUGCACUUACACACUUGGUUGCCAUUUUGGGUCUUGUAGUGCUUUUUUUACAAUAUUUGAACUUUUUUCGUAGGUUAUGAGUUACGAACCUACACGUAAGCUUUUUUAGGUUGUUUUGAAAGUUCAAGUGAUACUUAGACACGUUUUGAACUCGUUUUAGGUUGGUUUGAAACUAAGUUUUAAACACAUUUGAUUGACAUGUUGGGUCUUGAAGUACUUUUUUCACACUUUUUGAAAUUUUGGUAGGUUGUGAGUUACAAACUUACACUUAAGCAUUGCUUGGUCGUUUGAAAAUUCAAGUGAUACUUACACACGUUUUGAAUUCAUUUUAGGUUAGAUUGAGUUUGUUGCACUUACACACUUGGUUGUCAUUUUUGGUCUCGAAAUGCUUUUUUCAACCUUUUUGGUAGAUUAUGAGUUACGAACUUACACUUAGGAUUUGCUUGGGCGUUUUGAAAUCUCAAGUAAUACAUGGACACGUUUUGAGCACGUUUUAGGUUGGUUUGCACUAAGUUUGUUGCACUUACACACUUGGUUGCCAUUUUGGGUCUUGUAGUGCUUUUUUCACAAUAUUUGAACUUUUUUCGUAGGUUAUGAGUUACGAACCUACACGUAAGCUUUUUUAGGUCGUUUUGAAAGUUCAAGUGAUACUUAGACAUGUUUUGAACUCGUUUUAGGUUGGUUUGAAACUAAGUUUCAAACACAUUUGAUUGACAUGUUGGGUCUUGAAGUACUUUUUACGUGUUAUUGUGGCUUCGGUCGAGAGUGAAGAGUUUCCAAUCAGAGUUUCCUACCAAAACACUUUCUAAGAUUAAAGUAACUGAACAACUUCUGUAAUUCUGCUCUCCAGAAAAUACAGCCCCUCCACUUCCAGAAACUGAUUAACCAACCCCCAUCUUUCCUUCCAUCUCUCCCUUUUAACCUCCCCCUGUAACUAACUGUUGUCCCCACUAAGGUGGUUUCCACUCCCUCCAAUUCCAUCACCUGUGCACGUGCAAUUCCACUUGUCUUUCUUCUGCUAUAUUGUAUUGCAAUUGGUGGUCUAUCAUUACUCUCCCUCUCCAAAGACACCUUGUUCUCAAGGUGGGAAAUGAGGAAGCUUUUGUGUAAAAUCAUCACAAUUCUCCCAUGUAGCCUCAUGAGGUGGUAUUCCUUUCCAACUAACAAGCACUUCCCACUUCUUUGUUGCUGGAUUUUUAGGAUAGCCAAAAUUGUCUCUAGUAACUCUUGAAAUGUAGGAACAUCAUCAAUUCCAUAUAGUUCGGUAAAUGUCAUUCCUCCCUCCAUAGCUCGACAUUUUGUCAAGAAACCGUAAUCAGAUGGUGUCCAUGUCUCCAUCAUGUGUUACAGACUCACUCUAGUCUUUGUCAAACUCGGGUCACCCCUUAUAACAACAUUCUUUUCAUUUUGUAUGAAAGUUAAAGUGAGUUUCCGCCAAUCCACUUCAGUUACCCCAACGUGUGCAGCCAUUGCAUUCCAAGGAUGACAUCACGAUAGAACACUGAUGUAGUGUUUCUAUUAUAUUGACAAUUCAAACACAACUUACAACAUAAGCAAACCGUGAACCUCAGAAAAUGAGUCACGUUACAUAUAAUUCACAAACAUCAAACAAAGAAAACCUCCUAAUCCAAAAUUCCAAACAACAAAAUACUAAUAAGCAAACCAGAAUAUAGAACACCAAUCUUCUGCUUCCCCUGUCUUUCAAGGAGUAUUGCAGACCUUUUCCUUCACUCCGCAAACUCACUUUAACAAAGAGGCAGCCACAUUCUCAGGUACAGAAAAUAAAGUAGGUAGUAUGUAGGAAGGCUAACCAGAACUGAGUUGCAUAAGGUUUGUCUUUCGCCUCUAGAGAUGUUAUAUCUUUUCCACCUUUCAAGUUUCUUGUGAAUUCGAUCAAUGACUGGUUGCCAAAAAGACUUUUGUCGAGGGUAGCCUCUCAAAGGGAGACCUAAAUAUAUAAUCGGAAGCUGGAAUAAAAAAAGAAGAGUAUCAUCGACAAAUUGAAGCAAAGGGAGGUGGAUCAAGUCUUUGCCAACAAGGAAACCUUCAAACUGGCUGUUAAUAUGAAGCUUGUUUAUGAUUUCUCCUAAAACCUCACUUACUAGGAGGAAUAAAAAGGGGGAGAGGGGGUCCCCUUGACGGAUACCUCUAGAUGUUGUUAUCCGACCUCUAGGCUUACCAUUGAUGAAGACUGAAUACUUUGGAUUUUUUAGGCAGCCCAUUAUCCAUGAUAUCCAUUUGGAACUAAACUUUUUCAAAGAUAAAUUUUUUUUCUAAAAAGUUCCAAUUCACCCUAUCAAAGGCUUUUUCCAAGUCAAGUUUUAAAAUCCAUCCUUUUUUCCGUUUUGCCCUAUAAUCUUCCACGGCCUCGUUAGCAAUUAAUAUUGGGUUAAGAAUUUGCCUACCUUCAAUAAAGGCGCUUUGAGUGGGGCUUAUAAUUGCAUCCAUAACUUGUUUUAGACGUUCAGAUAAAACCUUUGCAACAACCUUGUAUGCUAACGUAGUAAGGCUGAUUGGACGGAAAUCCUUGACUAGAGUCACAUUCUCUUUUUUCUGCACUAAACAAAUGAAGUUUUCUUGGAUGCAAGCAUUUAAUCUUCCAUUUAUGUGGAAAUCAUACAUUAGUGAUUUGAAGAUAUCCUUGAAAAUAGACCAUUGGGUGAUUAGGAACUUCACUAUGAAGCCAUCCGGGCCCGGAGCUUUAUUGUUGCCAAGUGCCUUUAAUGCCUUAAAGAUCUCCUCCACUGAAAAUUGGGUAACAAGAGCCUCAUUCUGAAUUGAGGAAACACAAGACCAAUUACUGUUAAUAGGGAUGAAUCUGUCCCCCGGAAUUCUGGUAUAAAGUGACUCAAAAAAUUCCAGCACAAGCCUUUCAAUGUCGCGGAAUGAAGUCGAGACAACCCCAUCAUCAUUUUUUAAUUCAGUUAUGAGGUUCCUUCUUUUUUUCGCAUUUAAAAACCGGUGGAAGAAGCUCGUAUUCUCAUCACCCAAAGAAAGCCAAUUGAGUUUACUCUUCUGAAUAAAAUUACGCUCUUCGUUUUGAUAAAUACUAAGUAAUUCCGCUUGCAAAGCAGCUCUAGAAUUCAACUCUUCUUGAUUUAAUCCAAUCAACUCAGCCACAGAAUCAUAUUUUUCUAAUUUUGACAUCAAGGAUUUCUCUGUUUUUUUUUUACCUUAGCUUGCGCAGCAAUAUUCCAAGCUUUUACUGCCAAUUUAACUGAUCUCAACUGCUCAUGAAGAAUGAAACCAACCCAUCCCUGGAAGUUAGAGUUGCUCACUAUUUCAACAAUAAUCUGAUUAGAAUCACUGGACACCAACCAGCUGUUACAAAACCGAAAAGGAGAGGGACCCCAAAGAAAAGAACUAGCCUCCAAGAAUAAAGGAAAGUAUCCGAGAAGAUGCGUGCUUUUCGAGAAACCCGAGAAUUUUCAAAACAAACAUCCCACGUCUGAUUUAUGAAGAAUCUGUCUAAUAAUGAUCUUCAACGAGAAUUACCGUCUCUAGACCAAGUGAACCUUCCAUUUUGCAAUGGAAUUUCCAUGAGAGAAACCAUGUCAAUAAACUUAUUGAAUAAUGACAUUCCUCUAGUACUUCUGCCAAAAGGAAAUCUUUCCCGGCCCCAACGAGUGAUAUUAAAAUCCCCACCUAUGCACCAGGCCACGACCGAACAAUCAGCCAAGGAAGACAAUUCGGGCCAAACCAAUUUCCUUUCUCUGCAACCACAAGGGCCAUAGACAUUUGUGAUCCAACAAACCUUUUUGCACAAAGUGAGGCAUUUGAUUGACAAAGAGAGGCGUCUUUUAAUGACCUCUGUUACAGAUAUUUUACUGCUAUCCCACAUGGUAAGAAUUCCCCCAGAAGAUCCAACAGAAGCCACAUAAUCCCAGCCAAUAUCCUUAGAACUCCACAAUGAUUUUAUAAAAGCCGAGUUCAAGGUGUCCUUAGAUUCUUGAAUCAUGACUACAAUUGUUGAUGAAUUUUUUAAGUGCUGCACGUUUAGAUGAGUUGUAAUAUGCAUUAUGCAUAUAUGUGGUUCUGAGUUUGUAUAAAUAUUAUUUCUUAUAGUGUAUUUAGUUUCUUUAAAAUAUUAAUAAUAAUAAAUAUAAAAAACAGUUUCUUUUACGAAAUUUUAUACACUGUCCAACUUUUUACUGAAUCAAACUCCAAAAAUAUUGAAUCCAAAAAUAAUUAAAGAAAUUGUAAUGUAUAACCAAAUAACUUGUAUAUUUUGUGAAUACAACAUAGUUCUGAUUUUUUUUUAUCUUUCACUUUUUUUUUGUGGUGAAAAAUUGUUUUAUAAAGGAUUAGGACUUUAGUGAAAUAACUCUCAAAUUCCCUAAUGGAUAGCCAGUUUUAAUACUCCUAACGUAUGCAACUUUAGUGGAAUCUGGAUGGAUAUUAUUGGAAUAACUCCUAACGUCAAAUAAAAAGCCUACAUCAUAAACUUCUUUUUAAAGGAACAUGACUCUUUUAAUGGAUAAACAAGUCCUCUGGACGGGGUCCAUAUGAGAAAAGAAUUCUAGAAAGUUUGUUAUCAAUGAUCUUUGUCAAUAUUCUUCCUUUGCAAAAUGAACCAAAAAUCUUUGCAAUAUUCUUCGUACCUCCUACUCAUCCUCUAGACUUGUUUAUCCAUUGAACAAAAACAAAGGCUCCAUAAGAUAGGGUAUUUUUGGGAUAUUGCCUACAAUCAAGCGAAAAUCUUCUAUAUAUUUUUUUGUGCCCAACUCUUCUAUCUUAGAUUUUUAUCUUUCUAUAUAUUCUCAUUUACAAAGAUCAAGCCUAGGUCUUGAACUUUUUCCAUAAGAAGUGGAAUCCUCUAUUGAGGUGCUGAGAACGAUAAUGUACGAGUCAGUCCGUGAAAAACUCACAACUGCUACGUGGGCUUCUUCAUCCUAAUCGAAUUUGCGGAAAUUCCAUCAUCUAUCCCAUGAAAGGGAAAUAGAAUUGAUUAUGUAUAAUAAUGAGUUACUUUGAAAGGAGUGCAAAAGAAAGGCAGAGGAGAAAAGGCGAGACCAAAAGCUUUACCGUCUUCUUUUGGAGCAGGAAGCCUCAUUCCUUCUUAUUUCCUUUUAUUCAUUCCCAGUUUCAGCUCUUCUUGCUAAGGAUGGAUCACUCUUUCAUUCAUGAGGUAAUUAGAUAAGUGGCUUAAAAGGAGAAAUAAUAGUCGAAAUACCGUAGGUAUUAGCUCAAAUUCAGAAAUGCAAGGUUUUGACUCCCUCGCUCCUAUGCCUUCCUAUGCCUUUCAUCCUAAAGUUUCUGAAACUUCCUUUUAUUUCCAGGUAGACUUUUGAGAGCAGGAAGACAACUAAUCAUGCUGGUUGGAGUCUCCAACGAGUAUCUGGAUCUCCCCUCCUCCUCAAACCUUUUUUCUUAAAUGCGCUUCUCACGCAUAUUGAAUUGUGCCUCUUGGCACUACCCAUAAUGAUCCUUCUCAUUAUUUAAGUGCAUUUGAACUUCUAAGUCGAUCUCUUGUGAUAAAUGGACAUGAUACCUUCUUACAGAAAGACAAUUGUACCAGUUUGUAAUUAGGUUCUGCGUUGAAGACCUUAUUUGUAAAGCUCUCUAGAAAAUAGAUGAAAACGAAGUGAAAGAAUUUCAUUUUGAUGCUUCACUCAAUUUUUUGAGGUUGAAAAAGAACUGAAGGGGUACGAUCGACCCACGGGGUGUGGCUCAUGGUGGUUAAGCUAGUGGCUAUCUCAUUGCUUAUGAGAAUUUCACAUUCAUACUCUUCAGAAAGGUUUUCUCGUAUUUGGCAUCCAACCUGAAUGACAUCUAGAAUGGUUAAUAAUUUCUUCAUGCCUUGCUUAGCUUCUUCCUGAUUCCCAAACUAACGACACAAAGGCAAGGAAAAGAGGUUCAAAGAAUAUUGAUAGUCGCGGCAAAGGUUGAGGUCUCAAGAAUCUUCCCCUAAUCUCAUCUACUCUAUGGUUGUCCUAUAUUCAUGUAUAUCAAGAAAAGCUAAAAGAUAGACACCCAUUCACUUGUCUUAGUGUACAUAAAGUCAAAUUAUUCGAUCUGACAUUCUUCCAUUUCCUAAAGUCCUAAAAACAAGGUGCGUGCAGACGCGAGGUUCUAAUUGAUCAGUAGUUGAAGGAGAGAAAGUAGCUUAUUUCUAAGAAAUUCUUAUUACUAUGGUAUGAUGAACAAGUAAGAAGGAGGGAAGGAAAAAGUCCCAACAAAAGGAACCUACGACAAGGAAGGAAAGCCUAUUACCCACAAGAGUGCAGAAUCAAGGAAAAGUUACGGGUACGAGCUCUCUUUCAUUCGUCGAACUCAAGCAAUCUCCGUUUUACACCUCUACUAAACUGAAUUAAUUGGCUUUUCCAAACUAGUAAAAAGACUAGAAACCUUGGACCUAUGGCUAUCCAACCAGGUCUUUCCACAUAAAGGGGAAAGAGGUAGAAAGGAAUAGCGAAGAUCAGUUAAAGAUCAAGAGGCAUCAAAAUGAAAUUCUCCUUAUAUCUUUUCUUUCGAGAUGAUUAACUUCCUUAUUUUUAUAUCUUGAGUCUAUCUUCUUCUUUCUUUAUGUAAGACCCAAACUUUGGGUAGUGUAGUCUUUUUCAAAGAGUUUAAGAGGUUUGAAAGAAGGAAAGUUUUUGGUUCAAUAUCAAAGAAUAGUACUUUUUAGGCGUAUUGGGUUGACUUGGCAAAAUGGUUUUAGAGGUUAGGGUUUAGGGUUUUGAGUGUUUAAGGUUGGCAAGAAAGAAGGAUUAAAGAGGUUAGGUGUUUUAGCUAACUUCAGAAAGGAGUUUCUCACAACUCGGAAAAUUACACUCAAUCUAGACUUGAAAAUUCAUAAUUUGAGUCUAGUUUAUUGAAGAAGGUUGCUGGGCGUUUUGGAUAUGAGAAAGUUGACGUUUGGACAAAAGAAGGCAAAAGGGUCAGUUUGCGAGUGAAUCUGAGCAAGCUACACUCUUAGAACGCUACAGAACGCAUCGUUUGGCGUUUUCUUCCCUCAAAAUUUCAGGAAAAAUUUUUUAGGGAAGAAAACACAUUUAGAGAAACUUUGUAGAAGAAAGUUUUGUCAAAAGAGUUAUGGAUUUUAAGUUAUAACUUUUCUAAGUUGGGUUAUGUAGUUUGGGCGAGAAACUAGGUGAGAUGACCUUGGAAGUUAACUAUGCGUUUUGGACAACUAUGUGGCAUGAUAAGGGCAAGCGGUUUAAGGUUUUAGUGAGGUGUAAAACCUUGUUAGCAUGCAUUUUAAGGUGUAAAGUAAGUAGGAGGUUCCUUAAGAAGGUUUAAGGUGAAUUUAAGCAAGGAUGAGGUGUCAGCUUGUACUCAUGCAAUGAACUCUAUAAAUAGGCCAAAUUUAGUAUUAAGUUUCUCACAAUCCACUCGAGUGUUUUGAGUGAAAUUAGUCUUAAAAGUUUUCAUUUUGAGUCUAUUUUCUAAGUUGGGGUUUUUGAUUUAAUUUGAGUAACGGAGAGUUGCGUUUUGGCGGUAGAAAGCAAGAAAGGUCAGAAUACAGGUGGUUCUGAACAAUGUGAACUUCCAGAGGGCUGUAGAGUACAUCCGUUGGAAUCUGAAGUUGAAAAUUUUAGGUAUGAAUAACAAGACGUUUUUCAACAACUUUGUAGAAGGAUAUAUGUUUAUUUGAGUUCUGGAUUUUAAGUUCUAAAGCUCUUCCUAAUUAUGGUUGAUUAAUCAUUGAUGUCCUUAAAAGUAGAAACGUGACAUAUCAUGUAUGCCCUUAAGUAUCUCAAGCUUGUGUAGGCCAAGUUCAAAAAAGAAAAUCAAUUAUGUUUAAUAAGGAAGAAAUAAAAUAUAACUUGUACAAAUAUUCUGAAAAUCAAAUGAAUAAAUGGAGUAAACACAAACUACAAUUAUAAACAUCCAGAAGGGUCAAAUGUCUACGAAUAGACUAAUGAGAUUCAAAAAUACCAGUCAUGCUUGCAUAACUGACUGAAAAAAAAUGUAAUGUUUCCAAAAGAUGCCGCAUAUCUCAAGUCCAUUAUAAGAAAACCUAAUGUUCUUCAGUUUGUAGUAUCAACAAUGCAUGAGUAGUGUUAAACAUGUUAUUUCAUUUAGUUUGCGAACUAGUAUGACCUUCCUCUAUUCUCAUUCAUUCAUCAUCGAUCAAACAAAGUUCAAGAAAUUUGAUCACAAAAGCUCUUUCAAACAAAAAAAUAAAAAUAAAAACAAACAAAUAAUUCAAAAAAAUUAAUUAUACCAAACAAGGAAUAAUUAACUAAACAAAAUGUAAGGGAUGAAUCUUAAGAAAACAAAUUACUAAAACCAUAUCUGAUACAAAUUUAGGGGGUUUUUUUGUCUAUCAAAUAAACCAAUAAAACAAUGAACUUCAAGAAUUAAAAUUCACAAAAAUAAUUCAAUAAAAGAAUGGCAAAAAACCUCAAUAUCACAAAAUUAAUAAGACGGAAUAGAUGCAUUCUACAAACUUGUUUUAUUGCAUGCUCACCACCCCUUCCAAAAUUUAUUUGAUAAAAAUUUAGUAAACUUAAAACACAGACAAUAACAAAAUUGUUGCAAACCUGCAUUUACUGGUCAAUGUCUUUAAAUAAGCAUUCUCUGACGUCAAUUCUUGAUUUUUAACUUCAUAAGCAUCCACCUAACCAUGAGACAAUUAUGAGAAUAUUUUAUUUAACCACUAACAAUCAUGCUCAUGCACAAACAUUUAAAAUAGAGGUUUUAACAUACUAUCCUUUUAUAGAAAUCGUUAUCAGUUUUCUUGCCAUUCCAAGUUCCACGUCGUCACCCCUCUUUCUGUUCAUAUCAUACAUUACAAAAGCCAGUAAAUGAAAGGAAUGAUCCAUUAUGGGUAAAAUAUUGAUAAAUAACUAAAAUAUACUUGUAGCAAAUUCAUUAUCUCCGUUCCUGAUAUAGAUGCUUUCUUUUUCUCCAUUAAGACUUGACUUGGUUUAGACAUACAAAAACUCCUAUAUAACCUGAAUCCAACUUGAGCCUAGAACCGAAAAAUAACUAAAAGGUAUCUCACACACAAUUUGAUGUACUCCUUUUCUUUCUUCUUCACCUCAGGUAUUUGUUGAGUUCCUACUUGCUUUGCACACAAACAGAAAACAACAUUAGUACUAAAAUUAUUACAUAGAAACUAGUAUCUAUCUCACAGCAUCCAACUACCAUAACCUGAUUGCCAAUAACCCUUCUCUGGAGUUCAACAUUUUCCUACUGUAGCUUGUCAAUUUGAGCUUUAAAAGCAGCCUUACCUUUGGCUUCCUGUGGAAAAGAACUUCCUUGUUCAAUGUUAAAUAGAGAGAAAUCAUAGAAUUUAGACAAGUCUCGAGAUUGUACUAUUCGUGUAACUGUUGCAAUCUCCCUAUCUUUAACUUGUACUACCGACUUUAGCCUCUCAACUUUGGUCUCCAACCUUGCUAUAUCUUAAUGUAGCCUGCCACAAGAAAAUAAAGGUGACUGAAUACACGGAACCAUGGUUGUGUGAAGGAAUAUUAAAAAGCUUUGCAACAUUAUUACCCUGAAAUGAACUACAUUUAUUCCAUAUCUUAAACCAAUCUCCCACAACAAGAAAUGAACCAAAAUUAGAAACAGCAGCUCUUUCAACACUACCGAAAGACAUAAUCUCACGAAGACACUUGGCAAUAAAAUCGAAUCUUUAACGCAUCACCAUUCUCAUCAAAUGUUAAACAAAUCUCCUCUUAAUUCCAAUUAUUUGAUAAGCGAGAAACAAAAUAGAUCAUUAAGUAACACAAAUUCACGAAAAAUCAAACAUAAUAGAUCGUUAAAUUGAAAUGUGACGGUAGACUUGACUAAGCCUGAUCCUCUUAGCUCAGAAGACAAGGACGGGUCGUGUUAUGAGAAAUGUCAAGGUAGACUUAACUAAAACUUAACUAAGCAUGGAUAACAGAGUAAUUUUUCUUUCCAUUCCAACAAAUGCAAAAUGAAACUCAAAACAAUCUCACAUAAUACAAAUAAAAAAUUCUUCCAUUAUCUUCUUCAGAACACAAGCAUCUCUAAUCUCCACCACCGACAAAGACCCAAGACAUUAAAAUUAAGAACAUAUAGAAUCAAAAGCAACACAAAAGACCAAAGAGAGAGAGAAAAAGAUGGUUAAGAUCAAAACCAUAAUGAUAGAACAAUCAACAACAAACUAAUGUCAUAUCUCAUCAAAUUUUUCAAAAAAAUAAAUAAAAGAAAACAAGUAAGAAUCAGACAAGCCAACAUACCAUGUCUAUUUUUGCAUUUGAAUUUUUCCUACCUCUGUUAAGUUCCAAACAUGUUUUCGAGUCAUUGGAAAUUACUUUUUAUGUUACAAAAUCACUUUUAAAAGUAUAGACACAAACGAACGUUAAUAUGCCAUGAAAAUCACUUUUAACAAAACAUUUAUUAGUAAAAAUCAAUUUUGUUAACUAGUUUCUAAAAACACUCUCAAAUAUGUCUUCCAUAACCUGGUUUAAGUUUUCAAGAAAAAUGACUAAUGGGCCAGGAUACUCAUGCCAUGGAGUGGCAAAAAAGAGGUUGAGCUUUGUAUUUUAAGUAUCAUGUUGAUGAAGACAUGUAAAAGGUCUUAUGAUACAUAUAAGUUGAGAAAACAAGUAAUAAAAGAGAAAUAUUUGAGUGUAUCAAGAAAGCACCAAUACAUAUAGAAGCUUAAGCUAAUGGAUAAGAGAGUAAAUUUAACAUAACAUCCAACACUCUUUCUCAUUUGUGAGUUUGAAAUAUGAAAAGUAGAGCCACGCUAAGUGAGAAUGUAAGUGCGUAUAUUCAUGAAAUAAGAUGUUAGCUCGUAAGACAUUGAUUUGAAGUAAAUAAGAUAUAGCAAUAUAAGAAUAGAUACGUUGUGGUACGUUAUACCAACACAUAGAUUUUAACUGUUAAAUCAAAAAAGAAAAAAACAAAAACAAAAACAAAAACAAACAAUAAAAGGCAUUAUUAAGGCGUAGUUAAAGUUUUGGUAAUUAACAUUUUUAAGCAAAGCUAGAUGGACUCACUGGCUACAAGAAAUAGACAAUAAUUUGGAUAAAGGCAAGGCAAGGAAGGGAUCUCGAGUGAUAGAAAAAGAGACGAAUGGUGACAAUAAGGGUACCAUAAAAGUAAUGGAAAUUUUUAAUUGGACAAACCAUUCAACGUAAUUCCCCCCCACGGUAACUUGGUCCAUAAAU
rnacentral:lncRNA from 1 species